rnacentral:rRNA from 1 species
UACGGGGGGGGCAAGCGUUGUUCGGAAUUACUGGGCGUAAAGGGCUCGUAGGCGGCCAACUAAGUCAGACGUGAAAUCCCUCGGCUUAACCGGGGAACUGCGUCUGAUACUGGACGGCUUGAGAUUGGGAGAGGGAUGCGGAAUUCCAGGUGUAGCGGUGAAAUGCGUAGAUAUCUGGAGGAACACCGGUGGCGAAGGCGGCAUCCUGGACCAACACUGACGCUGAGGAGCGAAAGCCAGGGGAGCAAACGGG